rnacentral:lncRNA from 1 species
UUUUUUUUUGUUGACAUAAAAGCUAUUAGCUGCAAGAAUAAAGAAGACAUUAUCCAAAUGUUCAUCAUGUUCUUCAUGAGUGUUGCUAUAUACUAGGAUGUCAUCAAAAAAUAUCAAUACAAAUUUCUGUAGAUAAGGUCGGAAUAUAUCAUUCAUUAAGUAUUGGAAUAUGGCUGGGGCAUUAGAGAGCCCAAAUGGCAUAACCUUGAAUUCGUAGUGACCUUCAUGAGUUUUGAAAGCGGUUUUUUGAAUAUCUUCUGGCUUCAUACGAAUUUGAUAAUAACCAGACUUCAAAUUUAAUUUAGAAAAAAAUGACAUUCCAUGUAGCUCUUCUAGCAACUCAUCAACAAUAGGAAUAGGGAACCUAUUUGGAAUUGUGAAUUUGUUUAAGGCUUUGUAAUCAAUACAAAAUCGCCAACUGCCAUCCUUUUUUUUAACAAGUAGUACAGAGCUAACAAAUGGGCUUUUAAAAGGUUGAAUGAUGUCUGCAGCACAUAACUCAUGGACAAGGCGUUCUAUUUCAUCCUUUUGAAAUUGUGUGUACCUGUAUGGUCGUAAAUUAAUAAGCUGAGUACCUAGUAAUAAAUUUAUGGCAUGAUCAACUGUUCUUUCUAGAAGAAGCCCUAACAAGGCUUCAAAGACUUGUGGGAACUGUUUCUGCAGUCUGCCUAUUAUCUCUGACUGUUCUAGUGAAGAGCUGAAAUUUAAUGCGGUGCUAGACAAUUGGUGUAAUUCUAUUGCACAUAUGUGGCUUCUUUUUAAUUCACGUUCUGCUGCUUUGAAAGAUAUUGUUGUUUUGCUUAAACUUGUAUUCCCACAAAUGGUGUAGAUCUUGUUGUUAAACAUAAACUUUAUGAUUAGUUGCCCAUAGUGUGAAUGUAUCCACCCUGGAGUCUUAAGCCACUGCAUUCCUAAUAUGAUAUCUGUGCUACUUAAAUUCAAGGGAAGUAAAUCUUGAAUAAUGAGGAGGUCUUGGAUCUUGAGUGAAAUGUUAUGACAUAUCCCAUGACCUUGCACAGUAUGGCCAUUGCCCAUCACAAUAUCAUAGCUGUGGAAUUCAUUGACAGGUAAAGAGAGCUCUUCUUGUAGCUUAUUGCAUAUGAAAUUGUGGGUAGCCCCAGUAUCUAUAAGAAUAGUGACCUGUUGAUUAUGUAUGAUGCCUUUUACCUUCAUAGUCCCAUGUUGAGUUAAUCCCAUGACAGAGUUUAAUGAGACAUAGGCUAUGAAUGGAGUACCUUCCUCUCGUGAGCAAUGCUUUAGUGGAGCCCAAUCUUCCUCUUGGAAGUCUUCUUGGGACUUCUCUUCUUCUUGGACAAUGAGUAUAUUAAGGUCUUGCCUGCAUCUGUGGCCUGGUCCAAACCUGUCAUUGCAAUAAAAACACAGUCCUUUAUUUCUUCUUUCUUGUAGUUCAGCUUCUGUCAGUGAUAUCUGUCUUUUAUUUCCUCUAUUAUUGCCCAUAUUUUGUGAAGCAUAUGUGGACAUCCCACCUUUAUUUGAGGUACUAGUUGUGGUCAUUUGGGUCUUCUUCAAAUUAGAUUGCUCAUUUAUGAAAUUAGAUAUUAAAGGAAGCCUUUGUUGGUGCGGAGUAUAAGCAGCUACCAUAUGUUUGGAUGGUCGUGGUUGUUCUUGCUUCCAUGCUUGCCAUAGAGUAUAGAUAUGAGCUUCAACCUGUACUGAAGUAUCCAUAAUUUCACGUAACCCAAUAGGCUUGGAUAUAGAUAAUUCUGAUUGGAUCUCAGGCUUGAGUCCCUUCAGAUAUGUUUGCUCCAACAUUUCUGUUGGUAUGUUCGGAAGAUAAGUUGAGAGUCGUUCAAACUCUGCCCUAUAUUCUAAUAUGGAACUCUCUUAUUUCAAGUUCAACAAUUUCUGAUACGUGUUGUUAGCUAUUGAUGAACCAAAUCGACCACUAAGUUGGAUUUUAAAAUCAUACCAGUCGCGGAAUGGAAAACGAUCUUCUAUCCACAAAUAACAAUCUAGGGCGUCACCCUCCAUGCUCAGCAUUAUUAAUUCUAAACGAUCAUGUUCUGGUGUUUGGUUAAUACGAAAAUACCUCUCAACACGUCGUAACCAUCCAUCUAGAUUAUCACCAGUGAAAUUUGGAAGUUCAGUCCGGCGGUUGGCCUUGUAAAUGCCCUCCCUUUGCUCUGGGUUUGGGUGUUGUUCUGGUUGUCUCUGAGACUGCUCUGGUGGAGGUUCAUGUGGUAGGCAUGUCAUCAAGGUUGCUAGUUGUUGGGUGAGUUGUUGUAGCAUUUCUUUUGUACCCCUAUUGUCUUCCUUAAGAGCUUCGAGAUCAGCUUCCAAAGAUUCCAUCUUUGCAAUGGUAAGCCCUUUCACCAUAUAGGAAUAGCCCAGUCUGGCUCUGAUAAGAACAGUUUCUAGAACAGAAAUACCAAGAUAAAACAAAUAAAAGAACUCAAAAUAGAUAGAGGGUCGCAUACAACCCUAGAACCAGAAUAGAUGGAAGGUCACAUACAACCCUCCAGCCCCUUCUCGUCGAUGCAUGAGAUUCUCACUCUGAUUUCUCCUCCCUUUUCCUUCCGGAUCCGCCCUUCUUUAUAUAUUUGCCUUUUCCUUUCUUAUUUAGGCAGUUAGUCUCCUGCCAUAACUGCUCUUGCCAUAAUUUUGCUGUAAUUGUGCCUUUUGUCAAUAAUAGUAACUAUUAUUGACUUAUUGGGCAUUGGGCCUUCUUCCUUCUAACAUAUGUGCGUGGAGCCUUAUCAGAAUCCUUGUGUAUGGCUCCAGAUGGGUCCAAAUGCUGUUGGUGCAUCAUGCUUUACCCUUGGACUAACGUUCCAUCUUGCUGAUUAAUACUUGCAUGAUGAACAUCAUACAAGCUUUAUACAAGCUUGACCUUGGUAGAUAUUAUACCACCACUGUUUUCUGAUUCUCAAUACAGAGAACCUCGCAUGCACUUUCACCAUUCCCGUCUUUAAUAGUUCAAUACGUAGAAGCAUUAGUCUGUGCAUAUUUCAAAUUAAGGUGCACAUGGUUUCAAGUUGCCAUUUUUCUGUCGAUCGUCAAAAAUACGGUUAUGCAAUUUGUAUGUAAUGAUCAGCUCAUAACAGCUGCUCGCAUUAUCAAAAAAUUUAACGCAACCUAGGCGAUGGUUCAUUAUCUUUUUUUCAAGGUGACGAGGCAAAACCACGAAGAUGAUGCCUAUUCUUAAAUGCUAUACGAUAAGUAGGAUAAAGUGUACUAAAAUCACAAACCGCAUAAAAGCCAUAUUAUUGACAGAAAUAAUGCUCGUGAAAUUAAAUCCUAAAAUAAAUCACCCCCAUUCAAAUGUUGAACUUUCUUUGUCAGACAGUUUUGUGCAAUCUAAUGUUGGACUUUCUCUUACGGAACUUUCUUUGUAGAGUCCAAGUACGGAUUGGAUUUACCUCAGUAGGCGCUGGGCACGUAAACCAUGUUGACGGCAGGGCUCACUCAUGGCCUACCACUCUUCCCAUAUCUUCCCUGAUAUUUUUUGAUGCAAUCUAGCCGACCAUGCUUCUGUUUGCUUGCGCUUAACAUUUUGAUCUUCCAUCCAGUUCAUGUUCAUUUCGAAAAAUGUUCACUAAUUCUUGAAGUAUGCACUCCUUAAUUCCAUUAUCAUAAACAUUACCAUAUCUUAGAUCUAUUUUUUAUGUCAUCCCUCUGUUGUGUGGUGAUUGUCUCUAAAAUUCCAUUUCUUUUGAUGACUGUAUUUUUUGCCAUAACUCUGCCAUCAUUAUUUUUUAAUGUGUUGCUGCUACAGUCUGAAACCGAUCUGGUCGGCAACUAUCUUUGUGACAAUGGUAUUCCUGCAAGGGUGAGUCAAUUCAUUAGCGGUUCCAGUUUAUUUCAUGCCGCAGACUUUAAUGUAUUCAAUAUUUGAUCAAUUCUUUGGUACUAAUGUGGCAAAACUUCUUGCUUUAUAGAGUUAUCACAGUGGCAUUCUGGCAAAAAAUAGAAGCCGUACGCAGGAGCUAUUCUGUUCAAAUAAAAUACGAGUGGUAAGACAACCUGCCACAUUAAUGAUAUUGGUCAGCUUAAAAGUUUCAUAGUUGACGUCUUAUGUUAUUUCCCCGUUACAAGGGAAUGAAAAACGGUACUUUACCUGUUUCGGUAACUUUCUUUCAUAUUUGUUUUCCUUUAGGUCGUGGCAACUGUAGCAUUUGGCAUGGGUCUCGAUAAACGCGAUGUUGGAGCAGUAUGUCAACAUUGUAUAUUAUGCUCAGCAUUUCUUAGCGCAAGAAUUAUUUUCCAUCAAUUGUGCCUGAGUUUGUAUGUUCAGAUCAUAUAUUUAUGUCAACAUCUAUUUUCAGGUGAUUCAUUAUAGCCUGCCAGAAAGCUUAGAAGAAUACGUACAGGUGGUCUUUGAUAUUCAGCGUCAGUUACGAAAUACAUGGAUCUGGUUUCUGAGUCGGCAUCAUGACAUAGUUGAAUGAAUGAAGUUUGAUUUUGUAGGAAACUGGACGCGCUGGAAGAGACGGGAGACUUUCUCUUUGUCAUCUCCUCCUAGAUGAUAACACAUAUUAUAAACUUCGUAGUCUUCUGUACAGGUUCUGGCAGAUUAUUUUUUACCAUUUUCAGUCUUAAGCAUCAGUGUAAGGCAAGUAACAUUAUCUCUGUUGUUGUGCUCAGUGAUGGUACCGAUGAAUAUGCAAUGAAUAGACUUCUCCACCAAAUUUUUGAUUGCAAGAUCGAUUCAACUGGAAAGAUUUGCUCCUUGGUGAAAGAAUUCGCAUCUCGGACAUUUGAUAUGAAAGAAGAGGUCCUCUUUUACUUUCAUCCACAUUCGAAACAGUAUUUUGUUCCGGCGUGGAUAAUUUUUUAUUCGCAUAGCAAUUUUUAUUUGCGACAUUAGUAAAUUGAAAAGUAAGGAUUUUCUGGUGGCAGGUGAUAUUAACCGUACUAACACAGCUGGAAUUAGGUGAAGUUCAAUAUGUACGUCUACUUCCAGCAACUAAUGUCACGUGUACACUGCACUUUCACAAGGUUGGUGAGCUGCCAUUUUAAGAAAUGUAAAUUUUCUUUUUUUUCCUAUGCCAAGCUCAAGCUUGUCUGUUGAGACCGGGAAAGGAGGUGGUGGCGUGCAAUAAUGACCUCAUUUGGACCAGGCAAUGAGGCAGUCUUAUGUGCCCCGGUGAAAUACGACAUUUGAUUCAUGUAACAGGAAAAAGAUUUCCCAUUCCCUAGCUGUAAAGAUAUGAGGCCAUGAGAAAGAGAUCCAGUGGAACAGAAUUGACUGGGUGGUGGAGUCGUGGAAAUUUCUCUUACUGCAUGCUUCGAAUGUUGUGAUUAUUCGGAUAACUGAUACCUCUCUUUGCUAAUCCAUAGAACUUAUUCGUUUAUAUGCAGUCUAAUCUCUUUUCCUUUCAUUUAUAUUGCAAAUAAUCUGUACUAUUAAUUUUUUAAUCAUUAGGAACAAUUGUUUGAUUGACUUCAUUUUAUGAAAAAUUCUUGUUGCAGAGUUCUCCCAAUUUACUCUCUGAUAAGAGCAUUGCCGUUGCAGCGAUUUUAAAAAAGUGAGCCUUUUUGCGGUAUGAAUUGCUUGUCAUUAAACAGUGACUUCAGUUUUUAAGACUCUAUCUCUCUCUCUCUCUCUCUCUCUCUCUCUCUCUCUCUCGUGAAUCGCUUCAGAGGCGAAGCAAAGCAAGGGCACUAUAUCUUUGAUAUACCCACUGUAGCGAAUAGCGUGGGAAUCACGGCUAUCGACUUAUUAAACCAUCUCCAAGACCUAAAGGUAUGGAUGAGCAAUUUUUUGCGAUUCCUAUGAAUAUUUUGCUUACGGCAGCUGUAUUAGCAUUGGUUCGUGUUGAAAGAAUGAUGCAUUAUCUUUGAUUGUGAUAUUCAUCAGAAACUAGUAGUAAACCUGUCUCAUCUGGUCCAAGUUUCAGUUUUGAUUAAUUCUAAUCAGUUCUAAACAGACCAGUUGCUCCUGAUCCUGUUCUUAUUGUUCCUCUAGGGACUGCCGGAUUUUUUCAUACUCUACUCAUAUUUGUCCAUCAGCGCGUUAUUUGCCCUUACUUUUGGUUCUCAAGUGAGCUCAGGUUCUUAGUUGUGAAUCUGAACAACCGAGGAACAAAUUGUUAAAACCUGUGGAUACUUCCAAUGAAAUCAGCAGUGUGAGCUCUAAUUUUUUGCCGUAGGAAGUUUUAUACAGCCAGCUGCAUUACAAAUGACGAUUUCUCGUCCGUUGGUCAGUUCUACUUUACUUCUAAAACAUACGCCGCGAAGUAAAUACUUCAUGCAUUUUGAUUUUUACACGAUUUUUUUUAAUAACAUUUAAAAAGGUCUCCGAAAAAUUUAUAAAUGUACGACUAUUCACAAAUCGUUCAUUUAAAUCCUUCUCUACCGCAAACCUCUUGCUCUCCCGUUUUAUUUUUAACAGAUAAAUGUCCUCUCUGUCCAGAGGAAGUUGUUACCUUCAAUUCAACGUGUUGCCAUCACAAAGUCAUCACAAAAUAAGGAAAAAAACUAGUAUUUAUAUAGCUCCCAUGCCACGUUACUUUGUAAGAAAUCGUAAUACUAAAAAAAAAAAACCAAGGCCACUGUGUCGAUGAUGACGUCUAAUUUCUUAAUGGUAUUUCUAACCCUGAGAUAUGUUACAGUGUGAAUAAGGAUAUGAGGUAACUGGCAUCGUCAGCAUCGUCAUAUUCUCUUUCAAAGUUAACACCCCACACUAAAAACAGAUUCCUUCAUUCGUCCCGUGCUUCUUAUUCCUAGAUUUGCUUAAGUCUCCGGUGUGAGUGUGGGCCAGCCAAAAAGGAAAUAAAGGAGAGAACAACCAACUCUUUCUGGAGCUCCCUGACUCAUCUGCAUGCUAAUUCCUCAAAGCACACUCAUCCCAAUAUGGUUAUUCUGAUAUUGCAUCUGCCACCGCGUAUCUGAAUGAACAGUCCUUUGUAUAUGAAUCCAUCAUAUCUUGGACAUAAUUUUAGAGGGCUAUGAAAAUUUGCAUUUUUUUCAUUGUUCCAGUUACCGGACAAUCUGCAUGAGGUGUGUGAUGCUCCUAGCCAGGAAACUAAGCACUGGAAUCAACUUCAUGGAAAUCAAUUUAAAAGUCUUAUCAUUCUUUAUGAAUCUCACGUUAGACAAAACUGGCUCACCCUCUUCGUUUUCGUUCCUUGUGAAUUCCUCAGAUGCUUCAUCGAUGGUUCAUAAUUCCUUUCCAUUCAUGUAAACACUAGGAGCCUGGCCCUGCAACAUUCGAUUAAAUGCCUGGGAAACCAUGCCUUCUGUCUGAAUAUUAAUCCUUCCGCCAUGGAAUAUUAUGUUGCCUACUUGAGUUGCCACUGGAGAUCCUACGAUGUCCUGGUUUUCUUUCUCUGCUCGCUGUUCUCGUCCUUCUGUAUGACGCCCUUUCCUGUGAAUAUUCAGUCCUCUGGGGAAAUCACUUACGAAACCAAGGAUCCGGCCUUUUGCUACGCGAUUGUGAGUAGACCAGAGGACGUAGUCUCCCUUUCGACCGACCUGACGAAGUGGCUCUCCCAGGUCGAAAGUUGCAAGGUAAUCGACAGGGCAGAUCCACACUUCAUCAUAUUACUAGGCGUUUUUUUUUAAAGGAUUCCGCUUACCAUGAUCAAACGAACAGAUCCGCAAGUUGGACGCCAUGUUCGGCGCUGCGACGUUCGCCGCCAGAGAGUGCAAGAGAAACAAUGGCUGCUCGUCUUCUCUGCACUCAGAAUGCAUGCGGAAAAGGAUUCUCGACUACUUCACGAGGGGCGGCGGACUCUCUCAAGACCCGCCGCUGGCCGUGGAAACAAAGAGCAGGUGAACACUGUUCUUCCUCUUUCUUUCUCUCGCCCAUUAAGAGUCUCGCUGAAGCCGUUUCACUGCGAACUUGCAGCCCGUUCCUUCGAGCAGAUAUAAAGGUGAGCUAUGUCCAUUUUCCUUCAGAGAAAUCAAACCUUCUCCCUUCUACCCAUCGUCGGAGUAGUCAACGUUACUGCCUGCAUCAGGUGUUUCUGCAGAGCAACCCGCACGUCAAGUUCACGCCGCGAGCGGUGGCGAGAAUAAUGCACGGCAUCCCCAGCCCGGCCUUUCCCUACGCGACCUGGUCGAACACCCAUUUCUGGUAACCUCCUCCGACAGGACCCGUUGCCACGAGGUUUACUGGGCGUUUCUCGCGUUUAUAGUAAUCUGUGCUCGCUCCCUCUGCAGGGGCCGGCAUUCGCAGGUUGACUUUCCGGCGGUCAUGAGAGCUGCCACCGUGGAGCUGAUGAACAUGGCCGGCAGAGGGGGAGCCGUCUAGCAUCAUCCGUUCUUCCCUUGGCUGCCGCCGUGGAACUCACCAACGUCGGCUGCUUUCGAAGGGAAUGUGAAUAUUUUCGCGCAUUUUAUCUGUUUAGUUUAUAUAUAAUAACAAUUAAAAUUAAUUUUACGGCUGUUUUAGGAAGUGGAAGACGGGGGUCGGCGUAAGGACGACCAAUCAUACAACUUGUCGAGGGUGGAGGAUAUAAUAAUGCGCAAAGUUUGGGAAAUAUUAUUUCAUUAAAUGAUUUAUAUGCAUAAAAAAGUGUCGAGUCGUCGGUGGGCCCGGUGUGGGUAGAUGCCAACCGCGAAACGGAGCUGGCCGGGGCCCACGGCCCUGCUCAUCUCGAGAUCGCUAUUUGGACGGUGGCGAUCGUGCUACCUUGCGCUUCUGGUGCACGUGGCCCACUUUGGCGCGCAGGGACGAGAGAUUCCGGUUUCCCAUGGGGACCGGGGGCAUAUUCUCUCUCGCUCCGCGCUGCCGAGCGGACCGUUUGGCGUUCUUUUUAUGAGGGAAGACAUCGAGCGAGUCGACAAGAUUUCGGCAGUUGAACACCGGAAGGUUGGUCUGCCGAGGAAGCAGCCUCGUCGUCAUCGUCGUCAUCGUCGUCGUCGUCUCUUCAGCAGCGCAAGCGGCAGCUGCUGCAGGAGGAAGGGUGGGGGCGGUGGGGGAGGAAGGGUUCUGCGAUGGACACCGUGGGAGCAAUUACGUCGGCUUCGUCCUUGUCUUCUGGGGGUGACGCCGCAUCGUACCCUUCCAUCCUCCACAAUUAUCCCCUCUUCUCGGCAAUUCUCGCCUUCACCAUCGCCCAGUCUACCAAGAUCUUCACUACUCGGUACGUUCAUGCACUUUCCAAGCCGACGAUUUCAAUGCUGAGGUUCGAUUGAUCUUCCUCCCUCUGUUUCUCUUCGUUUUUUGUACACCGGAGGGGUUCGGUUCCUGCCCUCCUUCGACAUGGCUUGUUUUAUAUAUUUCUGGUCUUGUCUUGCCUCUCUUCUCAUCCUCUUUUCAUUUCGACUGUCGUCCGCUGUCUCCCCCGGUGUCUAGUUAAACGACAGCUUUGAUUUUAACGCUGUAUCAGUAGGGAAUUAUAAAUGCUCGCUGCUUCAGACGAUAAGUAGGCAGUUUCAGCCCGAUCCAGGAGACGUCUUACUUGAUACUGUAAUCAUCUGUUUCCAACUGUUUUUCGGGCUCUGUCGUGUAUCUUUCAUAGUUGCCGGACGUCUCUGCGUGCUAUUCACGAUUUAUAAGACAUCUAAGAACCAAUUCUGUGUCAGACUUCUCGAUUUAAUUGGGAUCUGGAAUAUUUUAUGAGUUUAGUAGAGACGCGUUUCGAAUUCACACUCCUGCCGCACACUGGAAACUUCUCGGGUUUCUCCUAGUUAAAGCGUUCCAGUGACUUGGAUCGAGCAGAUGAAUAAGCGAAUCCAGGAAGUUGUACCGUGAAGGAAACUAAACAGUUCUCAAAAUUUAUUCGCCUUCAACUGAAAAUGCCUCGGAGACUAAUGACUUGAGCUUGGGAAUUUACGAAUACGGCAUGAUCCUCUGGAAAGUUAUCUAAUGACAUGAGAAUCGUGGUGUUAAGUGAUCUUGCUGGACUUGAACUUGGAUGUUGCACACAUUCCUCCCGCUCUUCCUCUACUUGUAAGUUAAGGUCAACGUAAAACGCCAGUAACUCCGAAGUCAAUUGAUGGAGCCCAGCUCGUGGGCCAAAGUUACCUACCUUUUAUUUUCCUGAUUUGAGGAGCAUCGAAGAUCGGUAUUCGUUGUAGUACAAACGUACAGAAUAAAUGCUGGUUGAUUCAAAUUAUCCGGGUGAGGAAAUCUUAGUCCGUGGGGAAAACAAGAAAGGAGUAAAAAGUUGAAAAGAUCUAACAGAUUCCUUGGACUUAUCUUUACUUGUUCUUGUUUCUCUGCUACCAGCCUGCGAAAUAACCCUCGCUCCCCUUUUUUUGGUUAGAAUUGUUAUUUCCUGCUUGUUUACACUUCUAGUUACUGGAAGACAGCUCCAUCAGAAGUCAACCCAAACUGGAAAUCUGCUUAUGUGAAGUCAACACCACUUUCAUCCUGUUGCAUCAUCACUUUGAACAGCCAUUUCCUUAUUUUGUGGUGUACACAUUUUUAUCGAUAUUAUGAGGUGUCUUAGAUAAUUCAUGCAGAUGCAUCCUUUUACUUAAUGUUUCUCCUGUGAGUUCAAAUUUAUUUUUUCUCGACUUUCAGGUGUAAAGAAGGACGCUGGGAUGCCAGGCAACUCAUUGCAUCUGGUGGGAUGCCGUCAUCCCAUUCCGCUACUGUUACAGCUCUUGCUAUAUCUGUUGGGUUACAAGAUGGGUUUGGUGGAUCAAUAUUUGCCACUGCAGCGAUUUUGGCGUGCAUUGUGAGUCGAAAGCUCCAUUUUUUAAACUAUCCAUCUUGUCCACCGCGAAUAUAUUAACAUGCGUGGUUGCUCUUGGAUGUUCUUCAUAGUUGUAAAUUCACUUUUUACUAAAUUUCGCCAGAAGCUGAGGCCCAUUGGUGAAUUUUUUCCUAAAUUGGUGAACAUAUUCGGCUGUGUAAUAAGACAUCAAAAAACUGUCAAGUCAAAAUCAGUUCUUUUAGUAUAUUCUCCAAUACCAUCUCCUGCACUGCCCUAGUCCAUCGAAUGAGUUGGAUCUAUAAUAUCUUCCUUGAUGCUAAUGCAACAGAUGCCCGUUUUUCUUCCUGUGAAUAUUUUAACGCAAUAGACCUCUUUAUUUUUAAUGGGGAUUUUUAACUUAAAAUUAGUUGACAGGUAAUGCAUGAUGCUUUUGGGGUGAGAUUACAUGCUGGGAAGCAGGCAGAGGUAAUGUUCAGCCUCCUGUGAACUUUUUCAUUUCAUAGAUACUCUAAAACCAUAAAUAUCACGUUUUCUUCCUUUCCUUUUAUUUUCAAUGCUUGACGUGGUCUAUGACUGAGAAUUUACCUCGUUUAACUAAAAAUCAUGCGACAACCGCUCCAUAUUGCAUAUACAUUUUGGAAGCGCUAAGCAUCAAGUUAAUGGGUAUGCCAAAUCACCCUUGGGAGUAAAAUCUAUACCCAGGCGAGCAGUAGAGUCAAAUUAUAUUUUACCAUGAUAAUGUCGGAUCAUGAUAUACCACCCAUUGACUUGGUUCCUCCAAAUCGACGUAUUUCCUUCGAUAAUUUCGUUUAUAUUGGUCUCUUUAGACAAUUUCAGCUCAACCAUGAUGUCCCCGCAGGUUUUGAAUCAGAUUGUGUAUGAGCUCCCACCGGAACACCCUUUAGCUGAAACAAGACCACUGCGAGAACUCCUAGGGCACACUCCCCUUCAGGUUCGGCUGGUCUCCUCCCCUCUAGAGGAUGCCUCAUUUGACCACUGUAAGAUCUGACUGACCGUCGCUGCCUCUGCCUUUCUCGCAUCCAUCCCAGGUUAUUGCCGGAGGCGUGCUGGGAUUCCUCACAGCUGUUAUAGCAUACUCGAUCCGCAUCGCUGGAAUUCACACUUAGACGACCGGGUUCGAAUCCGACCAACAAUCCCACCUAUCGAUUCGAAUUGGCAACCGGUGUGCACCUGAAACUCGUUGUUUCUUGAUGUUGCCAUGAUUUGUAGGUCCCAUGUUUAUUGUAUUUUAGUCAAUUCCUGUUGAAUGAAGUGUUUGAUUCUACCGAUGGGAGUCCUAAAUGUAGCAAAAUUCAGCAGUACGUCAUCCGCAAUUAGACUAGGAUUGGAUCUGGUGGUCGGAUUUUUUUGCAUUUCAAGGGAAGUUUCUGAAUGAAUCAGAAUUCCCCCAGGAAUCAGAUGUGCGGUAAUUAGUUGGUCGGAAGAAACUAAUUAUUUCCAAGCCAUGCUUUGCUCAAUUAGUCAACUUUUUUUCAAACCCGUGUGAUCGCCUUUGUAUCUAUUCGGAGACAACCCUCCUUCCCAGUAUCCGGGAGAACACCCUUUUCAUCUCGUCAACGGCAUUAUCGCCCACUCUGGCGGUCGCCCUCCAAGCGAUGUGGUCAUCAGGUCUGACCAUGAUGGCCCCAUCGCUGGUAAUCUGGCAGGUCUCCCACCAUGAGGGCGACGGCUUAGCUUCCUCCACAUCUAUGUAGUUGUCCCAUGGCUCCAAAGCCCCGCCGCUUCGUCUCUGGUGUUCAUCAGACGAACCAUGAGGCCACACGGUGCAAACCUUGAGUGGCACUCCGAGCUCUCGAGCCACCCUGAACGCAGCCAGCGCAAGACCGUAGGAUUCCUUCAUUGGAGCUAUGAUGAGGAGGAACUCGAGCUUAUCCGCAGGCACAAGAUCCAAGGUGGACAGAAUGCCCUGCAAAAUAAGACGGCCCUUAGCCAAGAAGGGAGCCCACAAUAAGCAGGGGGGUGGACUCAGAUUUAUCAGACCUCGUCGCCAGAUGCGUUCAGUAAUCUCACGGGCAUAUGCGGCAUGCGUGAUCCAGGCUCCGAAGAGGGAACGUAGUCUCUAGACCCUCUUCUGCAUCCAGUGGCGGGUUCCUCUGUGUCUUUUACCCUACCAGAGGCACUGCUAUCCAGAGCUCCUUCCAAGUAUCUGAUACCAAAAGCUCAGGUUAUGGAGAAUCUGACAAUAGAGAUCGUACUUUAAUAGAGCUCAAUCUUGAUCCUGUAGCCUUGAUCCACCGAAUUUCCUUAUUAGUCUACUGGUUUAUGAAGUAGGGCCCCACAAGAUACAGACCUGAAUCCGAGGUCUUCAGCGGGGAACUGGAGCUGAAGGCUCUUUCCUUCGUUCAGAAUAGACCUCACUUUUGCUAGUCUCGAGGACACCAGCGGGUUGCUGUCGUUCAAAAGAGACUCCGAAACCUGGGCACGCCCUAUGGCGAAAAUUCCUUCCAUAACUCUCUUCUGCACUACUGAGGGUAGAAUAGAGCCGAUGCUGCUGUUGAUGGCUUCAUGAACUGGCAGAGAAAACAGGCACCAUGCCACAGAAUAAGGGACACAGAAUAAGGUUUCCACAAUCUCUAAAGUCUAAGCAAAAUUCAGUCGUUUAACCUGUAUUAGCAACAGCUGGAUCUAGGCCAAGUGCAGCAGGGAUCGACAUGGCUGCUCUGAAGUUCUGAAUGCUAAGUUCCGUAUUGAACAGUGCGAUCUGGAAGCAGUCAGGCAUGAAUAUUAGGCAGAUUCGUCAAUCCAGAAUGGGGGAAAAAAAGGAGACAAUCCUGAGAGACACUUAACAGGUCGGCGCUCCAUUUCAUAAGUUUGAAGAAUAGAGGUCGAAGCUAUGCCAUUGAAGAGAGCAGCGAUUUUCCAGGCUAGAUUAUGGGCAUCUUGGAUACCAGUGUUCAUCCCUGGAGAAUGAGAUAUCCCAAAAUAAGAGUUUUGGAGACUUCUCAAUCUCUAUGAAAAGGAAAUUCGUAAGGGUCUUCAUUUAAACCAUUUCAAGGAUCAGCUAGGCCUACUAACGUCCUUAUGAGAAGCUUACUAGGAAGGCCAGACGGAUUCAGAAUACAGAAAGGAUUCUUAUGUGGAUAAGAGCUGCUUCUAACAAAGGACUUACCGAAGCCGCCAGCUGGAGGGAAACGGUGCGCAGCAUCGCCUGCAAGAAUGACUCGGCCAUCACAUGCAUCAAAUCUCUCGGCAACCUCGGCGUGCAUCACCCAUGGCUUUAUAUCAACGAUCUGUACGUCUGGAAGCUUCCUGCCAACAAGGCUGCAGAUUAUUCCCUGACAUACCUGAAAAAAAAGUAGGAAUUGUAGAUAUAUCAGUACAGGAUUCAGGGUAGAAGAGACAAAGUGGAGUAGUUCAAUUUCGAACAUGUACAUGAAGGAAUCUAAAACAUCGGGGGAUUUAACUUUGACUAAAAAUGUUAAACGAAGUAAAAAAAUCAUGGCUGAACUAAAUAAAGCGAGAAAACGAGAGGUAUUCAAUUAAAAAAUGAGAAAAAUAUUUGAAGCUUAGAUGAUACAUGACACAGGGUUUGUUGAAAUGUGGGAAGUUCAACCUUAAAAGAUAAAAAGAAGAAGAGAGGGAAAAAAAAGAGAACGUUGGUGGGAUUAAAGGCCCCAGUCGGAUGCUUUCCAUAGAGGCAAAAACAAAGAGAGUGCAAGCUUAGCCUGUCAUUCCUAAUAAAGAUUAUAAGGAGAGAAGCAUAGAGAUGAAUCGUAGGUUACCUUUGGGCUGAAAUCCUGAAGACACUGCUGAGGAGGAUAGAACGGCAUCUACAAGAAAUACAAGAAUCAAAGAAAAGAAAGUCAACAUUUCAAUUAGAGAAGUGGGAAACAAAGCUUGAACUGGGUGAAAUAUCUAUCUACUCAGAUAAAGCAAUUUCACGUUGGAAUCUCUCCAUGCUUCCAUCAAAAGCAUAAACAUGAAGCUAGCAUAUAGAUCGUCUACCUGCAGCACAAACUCCCCUUGGGUGAGAUCAUGGGCAACGAGGACCCCAAUGGCAUCCGGAUUAAAUAUAAAGAAGAGCAUUCCUGGCCUUUCAUGCAGGAGGUAUUGUCCAAGAUCUCUGCUUAGGAAAUGAACACUGAUCAGCUUCUGCAGGUCCCUUUCACCUUUCAUCUCUAUACCCACCAGUUUCCUGACAUUACUCCUCGCUCCAUCUGAUCCAACAAGGAUUUCGCAGUGGAUUUUCUUCUCCAUCACUUUGCCAUCUUUGUAAAAGGAAGUUCCCACCAUGACACCCUGUGCAAGAGGAUGUAUGGAGGUACACUCAUGCCCCAUUAAGAUCUUCUCAAACAUCAUAUCAUCACUCAGACCCGAUCCAUCAGACCCACGAACACGAAAUCCAACAUUUUCUAACUUUUUCAGCAGAAGCCUAGUCAAUUUGUACUGUGAGAAGUGAGCAACCGAUGUUGGACUCACUAAUUUCUCAAAAUCUGAAGAGAAGAAACAAAGGUUGAGUAUCAUAUGGUGAAAUUCAAAACCUAAACAUAAUGGGGAUAAGCAGUACCUUGGGGCCUCAUGUGAUCCACAGAACCUAGAAUAGUCCCAGACAACGAAGUGCAGUAUACAAAUUUUCUCCACUGGUCCAGUGGAGGCUGCAUCCCCUGGAUAUCCUCUGCCAGUCCAUCCAAUUUUCGGAACAGCUGAAAGGAGUCUCUGGUCAAGAGGUAAGCGCAUAUGUAUUAUAUAAAAAAUUCACGUUAUUUCUUCAUAAAUUGGAUAAUAUUAUAAAAUUUUAAUGAAUAGGGGGUUAUGUAAAACAAUCUCAACAUGAAGGUACUCAGCAACCUCAACUGAGGACUGCUCUGAGAAACUUCCAUCGACAGAAUGAAGCACUUCGUAAGAAUAUUCACCUUGUCUACUAAUGUUUGUCUAGCGAUUUAUUGACAGAACAGAUCUAAUCAGAGGAGUAGAAAAUAACCUCCAUGGAACGAUUGUUAAUGAAAUGAGCCUGAGGAUGCUGAGAGAAUGUGAUGCUUUUCUCUACAACAGUACACUUGAUUCCUACAGAUAAAGAUUAAAGAUCAUCAAGUUGGAUGAUCCAGCAUUAGAUCAAGUGUUUACUGCUCAUAUCCGGAGCCCAAAAAAAGGAGAAAAUGAUAUACCAAGUAUUGAAAUAAAUUUUCAAAAAUGUAAGAUGGGAUAUCAUGAAUACUUGAAAUAUAAGAAGGUAUGCUAAAAAAACUUAUCGAUUCAACAUUUAUUCAAAAUACUCUUGCAAUAAAUGAGACAUGAAAAAUAUUGGACUACGAUAUAUCUAAAAAACAUUAACCAUGCUGUAUUAAUCACAAAAAUAUGUAAUGUGUGAUAUAUUGCUGGGCCGACUGAAAGGAAUAAUCUUGGUCGUAUACAGGGAAGCCACCAAUCACCUCUUCGGGAUGUCGGACUGAAAAUAUAUGAGGACUGGUUUCCGACAGUUCCUAUUCAGACAAUUAAUUAUACAGGCUCAUGAUCUGAUGAGAUAUUUAUACGGUAUUCACAAAAAGGUCAGAUAUCAAAAAAUUAUCACCAGGAGAGGUAUCAGGCACAAGGUUUGUGGGUUUGAAGGUAUAGAGAUUGUAGAUUCUCUUCAUUCUAACCAGAUGUCGAUGAUUAUUAAUACAAAAACAUCGUUCAAUCUCUUCUUUACACAUUUAAGAUCUUCUACGAUGAGUGGGCUUGACGAUAAUAAGAGGCCGAUCAUAGAACUACUAUGUACGAAACCCGAGACUGGACCUGACCUUACCAGCAAGCAGAUUAAAGAAGCGGGAAGAAACUGGGAACGAGGAGAUGCUUACCUAAUUUGGAUAGGAACAGAGACAAGACAAGACCCACAGGGCCGGCACCAACAAUCAGUACGGGCACAUGGCACUCCCCUUCCUCUGCUCCCCCACUUCCAUCUCUGGUGAGGCUGGCGGUCAAUGGGGGUAGUGAAGAGAACUGGCGCCCACAACUCGUCCGCGAAGGAGAGAAGAAAAGGCGACCCCGUCUUCUCAGACAUCCGGCGGCUGUAGCCAUGGCACCCUCGAAGAACCAAUACGUAGGGCUCCAAAGAGUCACGGGUGAACAGAGAAAUCACAGAUCGAUGCCCGGACGGGCAACCGCAGCCGCGCUAGGCGAACGAGCGCUCGCAGAUGGCAGGAGGCUGGAUUCGGACCAGAAGAGCAGGGCCUCACGGAUCCCCCCGCCAUCCUAGCAACGUCGGGCCUAUCCAGUCCAGCCCAGAGCUUGCCUUCUUCAUCCCCGGCACGGAGAUCGCCUUGUUCCACGGUGCACGAAGCCGGCGGAAGCGAGAGGAUGAUAAACCUGCCGAUCGCGAAAACGUCGUGCUUCAGAUCGGGAGAAGCAGCUUCUUCCUUUCAGUCCUCUGAGGAGCCCCCGCCAUGUCUGGAGAACUCCCCUGCUUCGCCGCCUGGCCGUCCCGGGCCCUCCCCCCUAUCUCUCUCUCUCUCUCUCUCUCAAUUUUUAAAAUUAAUUUUAUAAUUAAUGACAGACAUAUUUAGCAGAACAUAUAUCGCAACCAUUACGUAACCCGGGCAUGAAGACGGGAGGUGGGCCAGGGCAGCAAUCAAUUUGGGCCGAAAUAAAUGGGCCUAAGAGAAAGGAAAAUUCCCACCCGAGAAAGCUAAGAUGGCUAUGAUGGGCCGGAAUUGGAGGGGGGGACCAGAUGGACCAUCCUCCCCCAACGCGGCGGCUCUUUGAUUCGGGCCCAUCAACGGUGGGAUGUGACACCUGCAUGUUCUUAUUCCCUGGCCCAUUAAUUAUAUGGGCCACUGAGCGACAGUAAGUGUUCUCCUGUUGGUGUUCUCGGGAUGUGGUCCAAAUGGGCCCACAUAUCUGUCCACCAACGGAAUAAAACAGGAGGCAUUUAUCUCGCGCCAUUUCCCACGUGAAUUUCUGAGCUGGAUCACGUGAGCGACCGCCUACACGUGUCGGAUGGGGCUUCUUCAAUGCGAUCUGGUGACGUUUGUAGCCGUUGCAAGUACGGCGCAUUCGGAAGGGGGAGGCGGGGACCGGUUCUCCGAGUCGGAACCGGGUCACCGAGUUGGAGAAGACCGAGUCGCCGCCGGUUACCGUUAACGACGGGGCAGGGAGAACACGGGGAGUGAACCUGUCCAGAAGUCCAGAGGGACUCCAUGUGGGCUGCUUCAGAGGGAUGGGGAGGGGGGGGGGGACCAGAGCUUGGGGGGGAUGAUAGUCGGGGGAGAAGGGUCUUCAUUUUUAGGGCACCCAGUGGAUCCCUUCUCCCAAAGAUUCCUUCUUCGGGUGGGGGGCUCACGCUUCCCAAGCGGAUGAUCACCGGAUGAACAUUUUCAAGGUGAAAGGGGAUUAAUCCGUGCUUUUUUACGGUGCCGCCGUCUUCUUCCUCUUCGUUGGUCCGGUCAAGCUUAAAAUGUCUUACCAGGCCUCUGAAGACAGCUCUUGCUGUGUGUUGCUAGGCGUCUGCAGUAUCCUGCGAGGUCGACUGGGCCUUAGGUGCUUCCCCUAGUUCUUUAUAUAUUAUCUUCAUCUGGCCAGGGGCUGCCAAAUUUGGAGUUUCAGAUUUGAGAUUAGCGGGUUGCAGCCGCCGUCCGCUUUGUCCCUGGACCUGCCGCCGCCGCCGCCUCCGCCGCCGCUGCGGAGUAAUGUGUUUGCGAUCUGGUCUUCACUGUGCCGAGAAUGGAAAGGUAGAAAGGGGUUGUCCAGUCGCAGCGGCUCCUGUUCAUCCGCAAAUGUCUGGUGAUGUUGGCUUUGUUUGAAUAUCAGUGACGCUUCCAUCGAAAAAUCCUCGCAGAGGGCUGUCGAUGGUUUUCUGAGGCCAGCAGUGGAGCAUCCUGGCAUCUUGCCUUUCACCUUCUUCAUCCCGGUGGAGAUCUCUGGGUCUUCCUCCCCUUCCGCGUGGAAGAGCUCUGCAACAUUAUCGGGAAAAAAAAAGGAUUUCUAUGUGCUUCUUGGGCUCCUUUCCUGGUGAAUUUUAUCGAGCUCCACCAUUACGGAUGCUCUCUUUGCUUGAUCUGGUGUAGAUUUUUGAGCCGUUCUCGGUUCUGAAGAAAGGGCUCCGAAUAUCGCCAAUGGUGGAGGGGGUUCCAGUGCCAAUCAAGCUCAUCCACAGGUCAGAUCUCACGGGGUGGUGAUAUAUCUUCCAUUAUAGAACACGGGAAGCAGCAGCAUGAAGCCGUCUGAGGAAAACGGAGGAUCGGUCCCGGACAAUCGCAGCAACAGUUCCUCCUCCAACUCCUCCAACUUCGAGUUCCACAGAGGCAGCGGACCCAGCAAGGCCUCUCAGCCCCGCAAGGUCGCGGGCCCCCGCGGGAAGCCGACGCCGUCGAAAUGGGACGACGCCCAGAAGUGGCUGGUCGGCUUCUCCGGCGGGGGCGGCGGCGAAGAGGGCCACUCCAAAACCAAGCCACGAAGCUCCAAUGCCGAGGACAGGCGGCUCCUCCACUCGGCUUCCCAGAAGGGGAGGUUCUCCUGUAGCAGUAUUGAGGGGUUGGGGGAGGAGGGAGAAACCAAGAAUAUAGACUUCUGGAAGAUCAACCAGGCGACCGGGGAGAGCCCAAUCGCCAUGAGAGCAGUCUGCGUGAGGGACAUGGGGACGGAGAUGACGCCGGUGGCCAGCCAGGGGCCGUCGCGGGCGGCGACGCCCAUUGGAGCUACUACACCGGCGUUGAGGAGCCCAAUCUCUUCGAGGUCUUCCACCCCCGAAAGGAGCUGCCCCACGGAGGGCUACCAAGCGAGCGCCAUGAAUCUGGACAGGAAGAACGAAUUCCUGACUUUCGGCAAGGGAGAGCGAGACGACCUGACCAAUCCCGCGGCGCAGCCAAGGAUCCCUGAUUCUCUGGAAUCCAGAGCCAUGGCGUGGGAUGAGGCCGAGCGUGCCAAGGAUAUGGCUAGGUGGGUACAGCUCCAACCCAAUCCUCUUCGUUCGCCUUGUUCAACCCCCAACCAGCAAGCCCAGAUCUCGAAGAUCCCCUGGAGUCCAUCUCACCAUUCUGAGAUUUCUCUGCAAUUUUCUCCGUGGGGUGGCCUCCGUCACGGCUAGUUCUGAGUCUUCUGUAUGCUUUCAGAUAUAAGCGCGAGGAGGUCAAGAUCCAGGCCUGGGAGAACCGCGAGAAGAGGAAGGCUGAGAUGGAGAUGAAGAGAAUGGAGGUAACAGCCGUACAUUUAUAAUGGGAAAAUUCAUCGUCACUGGGUGUACCCUUCCUCCUUUCUGAAGGGUUUUUUCUCUGCCCACCCACCGAAACUAUGAAACCCUUGGGACUCUCUCUCCCUCUCUCUAUGGUUUUUCAUGUAUAAUUCGCGCCUCCAUGUCCAGGUGAAAGCCGAUCGGCUGAAAGCUCGGGCACAGGAGAGGCUGACGAACAAGCUGGCGGCGGCACGGAGGAUCGCCGAGGAGAAGCGUGCCAACGCGGAGGCCAAGCUGAACGAGCGGGCCGCCAGGACGGCGGAGAGGGCGGAUUACAUCAGGAGGACCGGCCACCUCCCGUCUUCCUUCACCUUCCGGCUGCCUUCCCUUUGCGGAUGACGAUUAAACUCUUCACCGCCGCACCUGGCUUUCCCUACUGCCGGGGGGGGGGGGGGGUAAAUAACGAAGAAAGCGCCUCAUUAGUCUGCUGUGAUUUCAAGUUCAUAGAGCAUCGCGUCGCCUGAAUAGGAGAUUUUAAUUAAGAACCCGCUGCCAUCGACCCUCCUCUGAAUGGUCAUGGAAGACCCAGUCAGAUUUUUUUUCUCCCCCCCCCCGUUGAUGUAAAAUCCAAAUCUCUCCUCGCAGGGAUGAUGGCGAUUCACAGCCGUUAUAUAAUAUUUUUCUGUAGAAUGUGAGUUGCACACCUUGUUGAGAAUGGCGAGGUGGGGUGAGGAUGGAAGGAGUUCAAGCCAGCAGCAAUCUCUAGGACAUGGGCUCAUUAGCUGGAACACGAAGAGACAUGAAUUUGGACCAGCGGAACGAGGAGAACCCAGCAGCUCUGAGAGGGGAAAUUUUCUCUUCAUUCUCUUUCGGAAUGGAUGCUGUUCAUGCAUAGUUCGACAUAGUUACAGAAUGUGCGUAGCCGCACAUGAAUUGAAGGCAAGUGCAGGUGGGGCACCUCGGUUCCUGCGAGCACAGGACUAGCUGAGACUUACACAUUUUCAUAUGCGGGGAGACCGCCGGGAACCUGUUUCAUCAAC